rnacentral:miRNA from 1 species
UACAAUAUCAUCCCUGU